rnacentral:tRNA from 1 species
GAGCCCGUGGCUCAAACGGUAGAGCGUUCGACUCAAAUACCAAAGGUCGUGGGUUCGAAUCCCAGUUGUGCCA